rnacentral:rRNA from 1 species
AGAGUUUGAUCAUGGCUCAGGAUGAACGCUGCGGCGUGCUUAACACAUGCAAGUCGAACGGACUUUAUAUGAAGCCUAGCGAUUAUAAAGUUAGUGGCGGACGGGUGAGUAACGCGUGAAUAACCUGCCCCUGUACCGGGGGACAACAGUUGGAAACGGCUGCUAAUACCGCAUAAGCGCACGGUUCCGCAUGGAACAGUGUGAAAAACUCCGGUGAUACAGGAUGGAUUCGCGUCUGAUUAGCCAGUUGGUGGGGUAAUGGCCUACCAAAGCAACGAUCAGUAGCCGGCCUGAGAGGGUGAACGGCCACAUUGGGACUGAGACACGGCCCAAACUCCUACGGGAGGCAGCA